UUAACCUGCAGAAGAAAAAAAAAAAACUUUAUCAAAAGGAACUCAGUCAGCAACUUUUCCUUAGGGAUUUUCUUUCCUCCCUUUAAUUUACUAGCCUGUUGGGGCAUUACUCAUAGUGUCAAGUGCCAGCCACAUUGGUAGGAAUUUAAAAAGGAAAUAAAACCUCAAUGGUGUAAAUAACUCAAUUAGAAUUAUUGCAUUCUCUGUUUUGGGGGUCCUUUUAUAAUCUUCAUGCAGUGAAUGGAGAUUUGCCUUUUUUGGAUUAUGCUAUCAGUUCUUGCUAGUUUACAGCAGGUAUUUCUUCCCUGUGUAGGACUCUCUCCUGCACAAGGCCGGGACCACGUGGCAGGUAUUUACAAUGGAGAGGAAUUUGUAUUUGAGGAGAGUGGCUGGUACAUCAUCACUGUUCUUAAGCUUCUUUGGCAGUACCGGUUGAACCCUCUACGAAUGUACAUGGGGGUAGAAGAUAUCUUGGACAAGUUCAUGAGGCGCAGUGUCUCUGGCAGGUGCAGACCCUGAACUCUGGUCAACUGAAGGAGGUAACAAAUGUGUCUGUGAUGGUCUUCUUUCUGCUUCCAAAGCACAACUUAUCCCUGGCACUGUUGCCUCAGUAGAGCUGAGAACAUAGCUCAGACCAUCAGGUGAGGCUUAGUUGAGUUCUUUGGAGGAACAAGCUGUGAAGCUAGAGGUGGGCUUAUGUUGAAGUAAUGAUGUGCAGUUUAACACUAACAGGCCCCUACUCUAUUAACUAGGGCGAUGAUGAAAAACAUUCAGAGCCUGCCCUUUCCUCUCCCCCCUUGCAGCAGUGUGGGCACACCUUCCCUUCUUAUUACUGUGUCAGCACCUCCCAGUCUCCAGCCUCACACCGUGCUCACUCCAGCUCCACAUACACACACACACAUACAAGCACACUCUCCCACUUACCUGCAAUAGAUGGUCAAGGCUAAGGGGCUUUGGGGUGUUGUCAUGGCAAGGACCCACGCUGAAGCCCAGUAACUGCUGAGUGUAGGCACAGGCAGGGCUGAUUCAUUGAUGAAGGGUAACUGGACCUGAAAGCUUGCAAAGAAGAAUUUUUCCAACUAUUUCAGUUGGUCUAAUAAAAGAUAUUGGAGUUACCCAAAGAACCUUGUCUGCCUAUGUCCUUAGGCCAACCCAGCUACAACCUACAUCUCUGUCCCUGCUCUGCUUUAUGCAGAUGGUACAGUAGUAAUAUAAUCACAAACAGGCCUCCAAAGAUUCCUAGAUGCUUUUCAGCAGUAUUGCACCUCAGAUAGUUCAGAAAUCAACACAGCUAAAACCGAAGUAUUUGUUUUUGGGAAGGAAAAAAGGAAACCAGUUAGGUUCUUAUAGCAAAAGGGCCUGAGGGGGCACUUGGGGGAUCUUGCCUGGGGGCCCCUACCCGAGGGGGCCACUUCCUAACUAAGCUUUGUGGGUGGGUUUGCAUAGUCUUCUUUCUUGCAAGAAAAUGCUGGCUGCAGACUAGCACUGGCCAAGCAUCUGACCUCCCUCCAUCCGAUAACAGUCCACCCUGCAACUUCCCAGUAAUGCCAUGACUCCAUAGAAGUUGUGCCUUCAUCAGUAACCAGGAAGGGCCAGUAACCAGGAUGGCUGCCUGCCUGCCUGGUUCCCUCCAUCCCUCCCUCCCUCCCUCUUGCCCUUCCACCAUACAGCCCUCCAUCCAUCCAUAUCAUAUUGUAACCCAGGCAGUACUCCAAAAGUUACCCCCUCUCCAAUUGAAGGGACCAAAGCAGGUGCACAAGAGCUGUGGGAGGUGUAGGGACUCUUCUCCCCCUAUAGAGCAGAGCCAGACCACCACUGAAGUCUUAACCAUAUACCUUUUAAUGAGGGAACAAUACUGGGAACAUAACAGGCAUAAUCAGGGGGUAUGGUGGACACUACAAUGCCCCAAAGGGGCAGGAUUCAACAAAGGUUUGACACUCACAAUCACUGACAAAAGACAGGGUUAAUAAAAUAUAAAACACGAAUAGCAGAGCAAACAAUACUGGUUGGGGAAAUAUAAAAAGAUACAAAAUGUCAAAGGACAAAGAAAUGUAGGGCCUAGGUACCUGGAAGGGGAGAAAGGGGGAAAACACAAUGGCCCCUUUCCACUACAAGAGGAAUUUCUCCUUGUUAACUCACUCACCCCAAGUCAUCAAAGCUGGAACUUGAGCUUAGAUUUCCUACAUGGUAGGCAGAAAUGCUGCCACACAGCCACCAGUUUUGGUAGCAUUAUAAGCUGCUAGGGGUCUUGGCCAUCCUGGAGCACUGGCCUCAUGUCAAGCUGCCUGGUCUUCGAUUGGAGGAGCUGGAAGCAGAGCUGGGAACCUCUCAGGUCACCACUCAGAUCCUUGCUGGAGCAGGGAAGCCUCUCCUGCUGGUCACAGCCUUGCAUAGGGGAUCCUGGAUCCCAGCAAGAAGCCCCUCCUGCCGGCCACAUGCCGUACUGCUGAGGGUCCAACUACUGCCUGCAGGUUCUGCUUCUUCAGGCUCUUCUGGGGAACUACUUCUGCUCAGCUCUUUGAAGCUCCUUCCUCAUUGUCCCUUGCUGGUCUCAUCACUGAGUCAGGGGUGCUGCCCCUUUUAUCCCCCUCCAGGUGACUCAAGGGGACAAUCAGGGGACAUGAGGGGUGAGUCUCUGGGGCUGAUUGGUGAGGAAAAGCAAUCCCAAGCCCUCCAAUCAUCUUUUACCCCUUCAAAACCCCUGGGCCAAAUCAUUACCAGAUUGGUGAGGAAAGGGAAUCCCAAAUCCUCCAAUCAUCUUUUGCCCUUUCAAAACCCCUGGGCUAGGUCACUGCCAGCUAGCCCGUCACAAUAUCGAGGGAUUACUCAAGGGACCGUGGGAGCAUAUUGUGAAUUGGUGUUUUAUCCUAUUGUCUUGCAUUUGUGCAAUGGCUGUAGUGUAAAAAAUAGUGUAAUUGAUUGCAAUUCAAUUUAUUAUGAAAAAAUAAAGAUGAGGAAUAAAAUA